AGCCCAGUCACACACACACACACACAGGGCGUGGGGUUUCCAGAGGCGACUGUAAAGGACCUUGUGCAUUUUCCUCUGCAGCCUCUGGGCUCGUCUUGUUUGCACCAGAGAGAGACACAGGGGGUGCAGUGAACCCACACACACACCCACACACAACACCCACACCCACCCAGCAGCCCACAGCCCACAGCAGUGGGGAACAGACAAAGGAGCUGCUAAAAGGCGAGGAAACUCUCCAGGAAAUCUUUCUUCCCCCUUCUGAGCUGGAGGCACAAGUCCUGGACAGCCACCUCUCUGGAAACUCAGGUUUCUGAUCGCCGAGCGGUGGAGACAGAGAGACACGUUCCCUGUGAGCGGAGAGGAUGAGCGAGCUCGAGCAGCUACGUCAGGAAGCCGAACAGCUAAGGAAUCAGAUCAGGGACGCAAGGAAAGCAUGCGGGGACUCCACGCUAACCCAGAUCACGGCCACCCCCUCGACCCGGUGGGGAGGAUCCAGAUGCGGACUCGCCGCACGCUGCGCGCUGACACCUGGCCAAGAUCUACGAUGCACUGGGGCACCGAA